UCGGACACACACAGGAGAAAGUCUGAAACAAAGCCCUCUGUGUCAUACAGUCACCCUCCAGAAGUGUCUGCUGCCGCCUUUGAGGGUAAGAAGCAGGCAGGCAGGGACGGACAGAGAGACAAACAGACAGACUCUUCCCUCUCAUGUUUAGGUAAUGAAAGGGGACCCUCAGGUCACCCAGCAUACCCACCAAGGAACCCAGAGCUUGAUAAGAAUAAAGUCCCACUAGGAGACUUCAUAGGCAUUUUCCCCUCCCAUUCUAGAAUUUCUGCUUUCUUUUCACUUCACUAGGACCGUAUCAACCCCCCAAAGCCUUUUUUUUUUAAUUUUAGAGUGUGCCUUGGGAGCUCAAUGUGGCAUAAUAAGGAGACUUCUAGUGAUGGGAACAAAGAUUGGGACCAACAGGGAUCUCACCUGACACGGAGGGCCCAGCACCGAGACCUAGAGCAGCCCCUUUUUAGAUUAAGGACCUGGUGCCAAUCUUUCUGAAGCAAACUAGAGCUGCCACAAACUCUGUCCAAUUCAACAUUUCCCUGUCAAUUAAAUAUUUGCGAAGCAGAUUCUGCGUCCGUGACACUCUGCUCGGCAUUGUGUGAAUUGCAGAGAAGUGCAAAGCAUGAUCUCGCCCUAAAAGAGCUUAUGGUCCAUAUGGGGUGUUGAAACAGUGAUAAACACCAUGCCACUGAACAAAACAGAGCCUGGUGGAGAACAGAGAUCAGAUACAGAAAGAAAGCCAAGGACAUGAGGGGGCACCAGACCUUGCCCGAGACCUUGUCAUCUGAGAGUGCCCCUGUGUUGAAUGACAUGAUUGACUCUCUGUAUUUU
rnacentral:lncRNA from 1 species